ACACACCGCCCGUCACACCAUGGGAGUCGAUAACGCCCGAAGUCAGUGACCCAACCGAAAGGAGGGAGCUGCCGAAGGCGGGAUUGGUAACUGGGGUGAAGUCGUAACAAGGUAAC
rnacentral:rRNA from 1 species